GUUUGUAAUCGCCGUCUACAAGAAACGGGACAGUUUUCUGUGGAUUCAGCUAUAAUAGGAAUAUAAUCGCCAUAUGUUAUUUUACGCAUUACUGUAAAAUUUCAUUUUAACACAUACUGUUUAACUGUUGCGAAUGCUGUAUAAUCGAGGAAGCGUAUAAUGUUUCGUUGACCGUACAUUAUUAAUUUGAUAGGUCCGUGUAAUAUAGUGUAUUGAUAAUAAUAAUAUUUCAAUUGA